UACGGAGGGUGCGAGCGUUAUCCGGAUUCACUGGGUUUAAAGGGAGCGCAGACGGAUCAGUAAGUCAGUGGUGAAAUACCCGUGCUUAACAUGGGAACUGCCAUUGAUACUAUUGGUCUUGAAUAUCGUUGAGGUUUGCGGAAUGGGUCAUGUAGCGGUGAAAUGCAUAGAUAUGACCCGGAACACCUAUUGCGAAGGCAGCAGGCUAAGCGAAGAUUGACGCUGAGGCUCGAAAGCGUGGGGAUCAAACAGG
rnacentral:rRNA from 1 species